AUCCAGUGUGAUGGCACGUUGAGUUAACGAUUUUCCAAUGGAUCAGUGAAGUUGAGCAACGUUGCGCGUGGUUAGUACCCUGAUGGGUGACCAUUUCGGCAAUCGCUUGCUGUUGGCU
rnacentral:rRNA from 1 species